UUGUGUCCAGUCUUUGUGCUAAGCUAGCAGCCAACAGCCACUUUUCUGAUGAUCGGUAUCCCGUCCUUCAAACCCAGCAGGGUACUGACACCUGUUAACUCAAUGGUCAAGGCUUUAGAGGCCAUUUAAUGGAUCACACACUGCAGAGAUCGAGCAACAGACAGGCAGAGGUGGGGAGGCCUCUCUGAGCACAAAGUGCACUGUCAUGCUAAUCAUCAGUCGCUGCAACACUGAAGGCUUUCAAGAGGAAAGUGCUGGGAGUUUCGGCUUAGUGCUGCAUGCGCUUCGCCAUAAAGAGAGUACUUUUCCAUUGAUGAGCCGGCACAGGCAGCUUCAGCACCACCAGCAGCAAAUCACUACUCUGUUAAAAGGCCCUGAUGCGUAGCAAACUCUCCUGCCAAGCCUCCUCGCUCCAAAUCUGCCUGCUUGCAGACCCCCUGUAAUUGGAGGCAUUAAACUUGCUUUGGACAGGAUGGCAAAUGAGAGCUUUGAGCUUGGAAGAGAACUGACUGGUGCAUUCAGACGGGGUACACAAGUAGAUGCAGCUAAAUCUGACAAAUCACUGCCAAUCCAGUAGAUCUGAGUGUGAGGUGUACAAGUGUGUACAGUUAUGUAUCUGAAUGUGCAUAUGUGUUUGCAGUGUCUUCCUUUUCUGUGCGUGUCGUGUCUUGGCUGGUGAUUAUGUACAUCCAGGAUGAAGGCAGAGCAGCUGUUUAUCUCGCAGUAAUCGUGGAGAUCACUGUGGUGAUGUAGGGAUUUGACGUUGAACUGUCUGGUCACUGACGAGCAACCAGCAACCACGAAAUAAAAAAACUGUCUGUCAUCCUGCCAUCACGUCCACAGCUUUCACUCCACCAAGCACGCUCAUUAAAAUCUCUGUGAGAAACUGUC